GUAGGGUGCGAGCGUUGUCCGGAAUUAUUGGGCGUAAAGGGCUCGUAGGCGGUUUGUCGCGUCGGGAGUGAAAUCAUCCAGCUUAACUGGGUGCUUGCUUUCGAUACGGGCAGACUAGAGGUAUGCAGGGGAGAACGGAAUUCCUGGUGUAGCGGUGAAAUGCGCAGAUAUCAGGAGGAACACCGGUGGCGAAGGCGGUUCUCUGGGCAUGAUCUGACGCUGAGGAGCGAAAGUGUGGGGAGCGAACAGGAUUAGAUACCCUGGUAGUCCACACCGUAAACGUUGGGCGCUAGGUGUGGGAUCCAUUCCACGGGUUCCGUGCCGCAGCUAACGCAUUAAGCGCCCCGCCUGGGGAGUACGGCCGCAAGGCUAAA
rnacentral:rRNA from 1 species